rnacentral:rRNA from 1 species
GACGUAGGGCGCGAGCGUUGUCCGGAUUUAUUGGGCGUAAAGAGCUCGUAGGCGGCUUGUUGCGUCAGCUGUGAAAACUCGGGGCUCAACUCCGAGCUUGCAGUCGAUACGGGCAGGCUAGAGUUCGGCAGGGGGAGACUGGAAUUCCUGGUGUAGCGGUGAAAUGCGCAGAUAUCAGGAGGAACACCGGUGGCGAAGGCGGGUCUCUGGGCCGAUACUGACACUGAGGAGCGAAAGCGUGGGGAGCGAACAGG